rnacentral:lncRNA from 1 species
AAAAGCCAAAUCGAGAUGAAUGGAAGAUGCCUAUUGCGGGUCUGGUCCCUGCUUCCUCACAUUGAUCGAUUACAUGGUGUUAAGCAAUUGAUAUCGACCUUUCUCAUGCAAUUGAAUGCUCCAAGCGAUCAGUCCAUGACUUCCUUUGUUGGCUCCUACUCUACCAGACGGUGACCGGCUCAAUAGAGCACCUUUGGGCGCUGGCUUUUCGAAACCAAGUUAGGGAAUCAGUGACCAACAGCUUGAGAAAGCAAAAAAGUUUCAUCUCUUACGAUAAACACUGAAUUGGAUUAGCCCCUGCAGGAAUUGAACCUACAAACAAG